AUUAAUCAUCUUCACAUAGUAUAUAUUGUACUAGUUAUUAAAUUAGAAAUCCAAGAAUAAUUAAAUAGAGGUGGAAGAAUCAACAAUUUUCACCUCAUAAGCAAUUGCUCGGAAGUAUAUCAAUGUUGGACUCAUUUUGAAGCUCGUAUUUUAAAACAACGUAUUAUAAUUUUUAUUUCAUCAAAAUAUUAUUUUACAAGGGGUAAAUUCUUGAUAAUAGCUAUCUACCCCAAAAGAAAGAAAGAAGAAAAAAGGAAAAAAAAAACUUUGCAUUUGCAUAUUCGUCUGAAUUCCAUUCUUCCUUUUUUUAUUUUUUUCUGCGCACGCUUCUUUUUUUUAAUGCACGCUUCUUCUUUUUAUUUUUAUGCAUUCCACUCAUGCUCCUCUACCCUACCUCUCUUUCUCUUUUUCCUUUUCAUCAUGACCACCACUACCGUUUGCCUCCCCAACGUCUCUCUUUCUGCUCCUCACCCGCUCCUCUCUCUCCUCAAAUUUCCCCAUAAAAAGAGGACGUUUCUACCUUCUUUGGGGGAGGGAUUGGGAUGAGCAAAAAAAAAACCUAACAAAACAAGAUCGGGCAGUGGCGAAAGAAAAGAGAAAAAACAGACCGAAAAAUCCCCCCUCAAAACAGAUUGAACACGAUCUGAAAUUCCCAAAAAUCCCCCUACAAACACAGGUUUUAAUCGCCUUCAAUUUCCCCAGAAAAAGAACAGCCUUCAUUAUUAUUAUUAUUUUUGGGAAACAUUUCUUGAAAUUCAACCGAAAGGAGGGAUUGAACACUGAUUGGGGAGAUUAUUGUAUACGGAGUAUUUUGUCACCGAGCCUCAAGUUUCUUUUAUCCUGGUCCUGAUUUUGUUUAAAAUCAAAAAAAAAAAAAAAAAACACCUUUUGUUGAAAACAUAAGAUUUGUGACAAAAAAUUAAGUUUUCACAAUUCAAUUAACUUUCGUCGCUGCUCGGCAAAAGAACUUUAAUUACAACAAAGACAUUUUAACUUUCGAUUCGAGCUUUGAAUCUGUCCAUACGAGAGGGUAGAUUCGAGGCUUCGACGCUCAGUUCACUGCACACACAAAAGGUAAACCUCGAUACAUUUAUCGCUUCUAGCCUUUGGUUCCUGCUUGAGUUAAAUUUUAGUUGAUUCUGCUAUUUUGCUAGUUAUGUAGUUUCUUUGUCGUCACAUUGUUUGUUUGACGCUUGGGAGCUGUUAGGAUAGAAUAACAAUUGCUAAUAGACAAAUUUGAAAGACAUAUACUGUAGCUUGGAUGUUUAGACUGAGUUUCAGGAUUUAAAACAUAUUUAGAGUCGAAUAUACAUAGGAUAUACCAUGGGUAUACAUGCGAUAUACCUCUUAUAUACACACCUUGGUGUGUAUAUCUUAGGUAUACCGUGUAUAAGGUUAAGACAGAUCGGUAUUGUCUCUCUUUUACUCUGUUUGUUCAAAUAAUAUGCCCCGGGUAUAAAUAUAAUCCGCUCGGUUUAGAUACGAUGAAACGGUUGUAUGAUAUGUCGGUAUUGUUUACUGAUUUGAUUUAGUCUAUGGUUUCUGUUCUACGAACAAUCCUAUUAGCAACCAUGUAUCAGGCCUAGUUCCAUUUUUAGUCUGAUUAACAUGUUUAUGUGAAAAUAAACAUGUCUUGAACAUAAUCCCUGCUAUACCUAUGUUUAAAAUAGCCAUCCUGUUUGAUAUAUGUUGCUGCCCCCAUAUAAUUUGAACGCAUAUUAACGUCUUCUCUUUCUGUACACAAUGCGAUUCUCAUUGACAUUCUGGGAUCAUGAAUUUUCACCAAACUGGAACAAAAUUGUUUUUCUCAUUGUCGGCACCAUCUGUUUUCACAUUCUACACUCUCAUGCAACUCAUAUUGUGCUUUGUUGAGCAUAUUAUAUAUCUGCAUCUACUCAUCUUUAUAUGCUAAGUAUACUUGUAUCGAUUAUAUAUGUGUGUACAUGACAGGUAUACUUUAGCCUAUACAUCUUCAUAGAUAUGUAUACAUGAGAUACACUUUGAAUAUACAUAUUAUAUACAUAAUCUACUGAUUUGUUUUUUUUUUUUUUUUUUUUAUAUAUUUUUCAUGUUUAAUCUUAUCCGUUGAGUAGAUACUAAUCCUUUUCCUUUCAUUUUUUUUGCAUGAUAUCUCGCAUACGAGUCCAAACGACUCGUCAUCUCCCGCAUUCGGCUUCGGGCUAAAAGCCCAACAUGAAAUUCUCUCCCUAUCAUCCCAAUCCGCAGCCAAACAAGAAAACAAAAUCUGGGCCAAAGCCCAAUAGACAAGACAGCCCACAGCAGCAAUAUAGAGAAAAUUUAUUGGGCCUAAGCCCAAUAAACGUGAACAGUUCAGCUGGGCCUUAAUAAAUGGGCCAAACCCAUUUACCCUUUUUACCCUCUUCCUUAUUUUAUUUUGUGUAUUUUUAUUUGUUUUGUAUGACUAACAUCUUACCUUAUUUUAUUUUUCUAACUUACAUGAAUUUAGCAAAUUAGUGGGGCUUAGUUUAAUAAUGGGUAAUUAAUUUAAGGACGAUCAAUCAAUCCCAUAAGAUUCGCUUGUUUUCUUGCUAUCGAUUUUCAAAAUUACGUCUUUAUAAUAUUUCAAAAGAAAAAAUUAAAAUGUAUGUUCUAUAUUCGUUCUUGUUCUAUAGUUCAAAUUACAAACAAUUUUCUAGACUCACGUUGUAAUGCAACAUAUUUUCCGAUAGAUGUAAAUGUGAAUUCAAAUAUAUUUUGUGAAUACAUUUUCAAGAAUCAUGCAUAUUUUAAUUAAAGAGAGCUAACAAAAGAGAAAGAAAACUUAUUUCUUUUUGCGUCCUAUUUACAAAAAAUAAGUAUAGAUUUUCCUACAUUGCAGUACUCAUACAAUGUAACUUUUUAUCCAAAGUUCACGUUUAUUGAAUCUCGUCUACAAGUAUUAUUUUAAACAACAUUAUUAUAUACUUUCGUUUAAAAUCUUGACAACGUUUAAAAUAACAUUAGAAGUAUUCUUUUAUACAAAUUAUUAUCUUCUACAAAUCCUAUUUUAAACAACAUUCUUAUCUGUAAUUUUAGCUAUAUUUACAAAACUACUUUCUUUUUCUAUAAUACUAUAUUUACACUUAGCCUAACUAAAUUUUAGUCCGGUCGGUUAACCAUUGUUAAUGGGUUUUCAAGGGUGCCUAAUACCUUCCCUUUAGACUAAUUGAACCCUUACCUAGAAUCUCAAGUUUCGCAGACUUAAACAGAGCUAACUUUAGAAAAUAACUUUAAUAAACUUUAGGUGUCCUAAUUCACCAUAAAUAAUUAGGUGGCGACUCCUUAAAACACAAACAAAAACUGGGAAUCUCCAAUACGUCGUACUUCUAAUUUUAACCUCCGCGGGUAAAAAUGGGGUGUGACAAUGUACAUAGUAACUUGUUUAAUUUCUUACCGUUUCUUACUAUUGAGUGUUUAUUUAAUAAUUUCUUUUCUUUGAAGGGUUUUCAUGCUGCUGUAGAAGAAUUGUUACCCGAUGCUGAGCAUAGGAGAUAUGCAAGACACAUCUGGUCCAAUUGGCAUCAAGAAUGAAAGGGUGAAGAGAGAAGAAAACGAUUUUGGAGAUGUUCUAAGGCCAGUUUUGAAGUGAAGUUCAGGUUGUGCCAGGUGCAGAAGCACCUAACCAAAGUUUACAAGACCCUGCAUAAGCACCUAGCCAAACUGCACCUACAAGCUUAAGCCAACCUACACCUUCAGCAGCAGUUUGUGAUGAUACAACUAGAGUUAGGAGGGUGAAUCAAUCAAAAAGAGUUAGAAGCUCAAGCCAGCUAGCCCCACCUAUAGAUACAAGUAUUUCUAUUACAAGAGGAAUAACAAGUCAACUACCUCCUAGAAGAAAACAAGUUGCUGGACAGAAGAGAGCUAAGGUUGCAACUGGAGAGGAACCUGCAAGUAGGGGACACAAGAAGCAGCUGAUGUUGGAUUUGGCAUAUACACAAGUACAAGUGGAACUCAAAUACUAAAUCUAGGAACAUCAAGCCAAAGGAUUCUAGAAACUGGUUCAGCUUACAAGGAUACAAGUCCAACAGGCAUAGACCUUGGCUAUAAAGCUAGAGGAUUGAGAUGGAAAAACAAGGAAGCUGUCACUGGCCCCCAAUUGAAGCAUAUGGCAAACAAGAAGAAGAAGAAGAAUUGGCAGUAUUAGGAUAGAAUGUAGUACUUAAUUGGCAAUGUAAUAUGGAACCAAACAAUUUCUCUUUUUGGAUGGUUAUUUUGGCAAUCUGCUACCUGUAUGUAGCAGUAAACAAUUUGCAGUAUUUUAAUGUUUGCUUUUGGCUACUUGUAUGCUAACUUUGAGCUCAUUCUUGAGCAUGUUAAUAUAUUAGCUACUAUUUGGGGUUACUUU